rnacentral:sRNA from 1 species
GGCUGAAGAAUUAUAAGGAUUAAACACAUUUUUUCUAGAGGUUAUUGAUGUGUACACCGGGGCUCUUACUCACAAACUCAACAUAAAAGUCCGAAGGACUUUUAUUCAGUUUGUGAGUUAAUCGCCCCGGUUUACACAUCAAUAACCUCUAGAAAAAAUGUGUUUAAUCCUAUAGUAUCUCAACC